rnacentral:lncRNA from 1 species
AUUGCUAGAUGGUUACAUUAAUUAGUAUAGAAAGUUAUUCCUAUGCUACCGGCUUAGGUUCGAACCUAUGGGGUCAUAUACAUUAGAAGAUUCGAUCUGAUCGGAUGGCUGAAGAGUCCCAUUAGAUUGAAAAUCUGGUGAAGAGUCUUGUUGGACUAGGACUCUACAGGAGAGUCCCACUGGAUUAGGACUCUACUGUUAAUGGAGGAUUUAUUGAUAAUUAGAUUGCU